AGAGUUUGAUCCUGGCUCAGGAUGAACGCUAGCUACAGGCUUAACACAUGCAAGUCGAGGGGCAGCAUGGUCUUAGCUUGCUAAGGCCGAUGGCGACCGGCGCACGGGUGAGUAACACGUAUCCAACCUGCCGUCUACUCUUGGACAGCCUUCUGAAAGGAAGAUUAAUACAAGAUGGCAUCAUGAGUCCGCAUGUUCACAUGAUUAAAGGUAUUCCGGUAGACGAUGGGGAUGCGUUCCAUUAGAUAGUAGGCGGGGUAACGGCCCACCUAGUCUUCGAUGGAUAGGGGUUCUGAGAGGAAGGUCCCCCACAUUGGAACUGAGACACGGUCCAAACUCCUACGGGAGGCAGCAGUGAGGAAUAUUGGUCAAUGGGCGAGAGCCUGAACCAGCCAAGUAGCGUGAAGGAUGACUGCCCUAUGGGUUGUAAACUUCUUUUAUAAAGGAAUAAAGUCGGGUAUGCAUACCCGUUUGCAUGUACUUUAUGAAUAAGGAUCGGCUAACUCCGUGCCAGCAGCCGCGGUAAUACGGAGGAUCCGAGCGUUAUCCGGAUUUAUUGGGUUUAAAGGGAGCGUAGAUGGAUGUUUAAGUCAGUUGUGAAAGUUUGCGGCUCAACCGUAAAAUUGCAGUUGAUACUGGAUAUCUUGAGUGCAGUUGAGGCAGGCGGAAUUCGUGGUGUAGCGGUGAAAUGCUUAGAUAUCACGAAGAACUCCGAUUGCGAAGGCAGCCUGCUAAGCUGCAACUGACAUUGAGGCUCGAAAGUGUGGGUAUCAAACAGGAUUAGAUACCCUGGUAGUCCACACGGUAAACGAUGAAUACUCGCUGUUUGCGAUAUACAGCAAGCGGCCAAGCGAAAGCGUUAAGUAUUCCACCUGGGGAGUACGCCGGCAACGGUGAAACUCAAAGGAAUUGACGGGGGCCCGCACAAGCGGAGGAACAUGUGGUUUAAUUCGAUGAUACGCGAGGAACCUUACCCGGGCUUAAAUUGCAGAUGAAUUACGGUGAAAGCCGUAAGCCGCAAGGCAUCUGUGAAGGUGCUGCAUGGUUGUCGUCAGCUCGUGCCGUGAGGUGUCGGCUUAAGUGCCAUAACGAGCGCAACCCUUGUUGUCAGUUACUAACAGGUUCUGCUGAGGACUCUGACAAGACUGCCAUCGUAAGAUGUGAGGAAGGUGGGGAUGACGUCAAAUCAGCACGGCCCUUACGUCCGGGGCUACACACGUGUUACAAUGGGGGGUACAGAGGGCCGCUACCACGCGAGUGGAUGCCAAUCCCCAAAACCUCUCUCAGUUCGGACUGGAGUCUGCAACCCGACUCCACGAAGCUGGAUUCGCUAGUAAUCGCGCAUCAGCCACGGCGCGGUGAAUACGUUCCCGGGCCUUGUACACACCGCCCGUCAAGCCAUGGGAGCCGGGGGUACCUGAAGUGCGUAACCGCGAGGAGCGCCCUAGGGUAAAACUGGUGACUGGGGCUAAGUCGUAACAAGGUA
rnacentral:rRNA from 1 species